GAUGAACGCUGGCGGCGUGCCUAACACAUGCAAGUCGAACGAGGCCCUUUGUAUUCGUACGAAGGUGUCCUAGUGGCGAACGGGUGAGUAACACGUUGGUGACCUGCCCCAAAGUGGGGGACAACUCCGGGAAACUGGAGCUAAUACCCCAUGUGUUCCGAGGAGUUAGAGGUCCUCGGAGAAAAGGAGCAAUCCGCUUUGGGAGGGGCCUGCGGCCCAUCAGCUAGUUGGUAGGGUAAUGGCCUACCAAGGCUACGACGGGUAGGGGACCUGAGAGGGUGGCCCCCCACACUGGCACUGAAACACGGGCCAGACACCUACGGGUGGCAGCAGUGGGGAAUAUUGCCCAAUGGACGAAAGUCUGAGGCAGCAACGCCGCGUGCGCGAUGAAGGUCUUAGGAUCGUAAAGCACUUUCGCCAGGGAUGAUAAUGACAGUACCUGGUAAAGAAACCCCGGCUAACUCCGUG
rnacentral:rRNA from 1 species